CGGUGAUGCUUCUUCCUCUUCCUCUUUAGUCUUAAUCCUACUGCAUACUUACAACUACAGUGAGGACACCUGGCGGCAUGAGCUGCCGAGCUCGCCACUGUCCUUCUGUGCUAGCUGAAGCUGGUCGCUGCCUCCCGUGGAGGUUUAGAUCUGGACGGCGCAAAUCUUUUUGGAUCCGAGAGGAGGACGAGUAGCCGCUUGUCGUGUGCUCCCUCAUGGCCUCACGGGUAGAGCACUUCAUCGAUCUGGUACAGACACCCACUCUCUGACUAUUCAACGAUGCAUUUGGUAUUUGAAAUAUGGAACUUUUUUUUGUUCUGAUAGCAGUUCAUCCAUUGCACAGAACUACCGAUCAAGAUUUUGUCAAGCACAUGGAUUUGACUUCCUUCUC
rnacentral:lncRNA from 1 species